GACGAACGCUGGCGGCGUGCCUAAUACAUGCAAGUCGAGCGGAAGUUGAAGAGCUUGCUCUUCAACUUUAGCGGCGGACGGGUGAGGAACACGUGGGCAACAUGCCCUGCAGAUAGGGAUAACUCCGGGAAACCGGUGCUAAUACCGAAAAGUUUUCGCCACCUCCUGGUGGCGUACGGAAAGACGGUUUCGGCUGAGACUGCAGGAUGGCCCCGCGGCGCAUUCGCUAGUGGGUGGGGUAACGGCCCACCAAGGCGACGAUGCGUAGCCGACCUGAGAGGGUGAUCGGCCACACUGGGACUGAGACACGGCCCAGACUCCUACGGGAGGCAGCAGUAGGGAAUCUUCCGCAAUGGACGAAAGUCUGACGGAGCAACGCCGCGUGAGUGUCGAAGGUUUUCGGAUCGUAAAACUCUGUUGUGAGGGAAGAACAAGUACCAACUAACUACGGGUACCUUGACGGUACCUCACCAGAAAGCCACGGCUAACUACGUGCCAGCCGCCGCCGUAAUAC
rnacentral:rRNA from 1 species